GACGGAGGAUGCUAGCGUUAUCCGGAAUUAUUGGGCGUAAAGCGUCCGCAGGUGGACAUACAAGUCUGCUGUCAAAGUGCAGAGCUUAACUCUGUAAAGGCGGUGGAAACUGUAGGUCUUGAGUAUGGUAGGGGUAGAGGGAAUUCCCGGUGUAGCGGUGAAAUGCGUAGAUAUCGGGAAGAACACCAGUGGCGAAAGCGCUCUACUGGGCCAUAACUGACACUGAGGGACGAAAGCUAGGGGAGCGAAAGGG
rnacentral:rRNA from 1 species